rnacentral:rRNA from 1 species
AAGCGGGAAAAGCUCAAAUUUAAAAUCUGGCAGUCUAUGGCUGUCCGAGUUGUAAUCUAGAGAAGUGAUGCCCGCGCUGGACCGUGUACAAGUCUCCUGGAAUGGAGCGUCAUAGAGGGUGAGAAUCCCGUCUCUGACACGGACUACCAGGGCUUUGUGGUAUGCUCUCAAAGAGUCGAGUUGUUUGGGAAUGCAGCUCUAAAUGGGUGGUAAAUUCCAUCUAAAGCUAAAUAUUGGCGAGAGACCGAUAGCGAACAAGUACCGUGAGGGAAAGAUGAAAAGAACUUUGGAAAGAGAGUUAAACAGUACGUGAAAUUGCUGAAAGGGAAACGCUUGAAGUCAGUCGCGUUAGCUAGGAAUCAGCCUUGCUUUUGCUUGGUGUACUUUCUGGUUU